AGGGAGGUCUAUACUGCAGUCGAGGGGCAGCGGGAGCUUCGGUGUUGCCGGCGACCGGCGAACGGGUGCGUAAUGCGCAUGCAAUCUACUUUACACUGGGGAAUAACCUCCGGAAACGGGAAUUAAUACCCCAUAUAAUCUUAUCAGCGCAUGCUGAAAAGAUAAAAGCUCCGGCGGUGUAAAAUGAGCGUGCGUCCUAUUAGCUAGUUGGAGAGGUAAUGGCUCACCAAGGCUACGAUGGGUAGGGGUUCUUAGUGGAAGGUCCCCCACACUGGCACUGAGAUACGGGCCAGACUCCUACGGGAGGCAGCAGUAGGGAAUAUUGGUCAAUGGGCGCAAGCCUGAACCAGCCAUGCCGCGUGCAGGAUGAAGGCUCUCUGAGUUGUAAACUGCUUUUGUACAGGAGCAAAAAAAUCCCUGCGGGGGUUCUUGAGAGUACUGUAAAAAUAAGCACCGGCUAAUUCCGUGCCAGCAGCCGCGGUAAUACGGGAGGUGCAAGCGUUAUCCGGUUUUAUUGGGUUUAAAGGGUGCGUAUGCGGCUUAUUAACUCAGUUGUGAAAUCCUAGUGCUUAUGCUAGAACUGCGAUUGAUACUAUUAGGCUUGAGUUAAUAAUAGGUAGGCAGAAUUUAUGGUGUACUAGUGAAAUGCUUACAUAUCAUAAGGAAUACCAAUAGCGUAGGCAGCUUACUGGUCUUUAACUGACGCUGAGGCACAAAAGCGUGGGGAGCAACCAGGAUUAUAUACCCUGGUAGUCCACGCCGUAAACGAUGAUCACUCGAUAUACAUGAUGCGUCAUGUGUGUCUAAGCGAAAGCGUUAAGUGAUCCACCUGGGGAAUAUACUCGCAAGGGGGAAACUCAAAGGAAUUGACGGGGGUCCGCACAAGCGGGGGAAAAUGGGGGGUAAUUUCAAAAAAAACCCGAGGAACCUUACCUGGGCUAAAAAGGAUUU
rnacentral:rRNA from 1 species